GACGUAGGGAGCGAGCGUUGUCCGGAUUCAUUGGGCGUAAAGCGCGCGUAGGCGGCCUCGCAAGUCGGUUGUGAAAUCCCGGGGCUCAACCCCGGGACUGCGUCCGAUACUGCGAGGCUGGAGGUAGGUAGGGGAGAUCGGAAUUCCUGGUGUAGCGGUGAAAUGCGCAGAUAUCAGGAGGAACACCGGUGGCGAAGGCGGUUCUCUGGGCCUGUACUGACGCUGAGGAACGAAAGCGUGGGGAGCGAACAGG
rnacentral:rRNA from 1 species